GAUGAACGCUGGCGGCGUGCCUAAUACAUGCAAGUCGAGCGAACAGACGAGGAGCUUGCUCCUCUGACGUUAGCGGCGGACGGGUGAGUAACACGUGGAUAACCUACCUAUAAGACUGGGAUAACUUCGGGAAACCGGAGCUAAUACCGGAUAAUAUAUUGAACCGCAUGGUUCAAUAGUGAAAGACGGUUUUGCUGUCACUUAUAGAUGGAUCCGCGCCGCAUUAGCUAGUUGGUAAGGUAACGGCUUACCAAGGCAACGAUGCGUAGCCGACCUGAGAGGGUGAUCGGCCACACUGGAACUGAAACACGGUCCAGACUCCUAAGGGAGGCAGCAGUAGGGAAUCUUCCGCAAUGGGCGAAAGCCUGACGGAGCAACGCCGCGUGAGUGAUGAAGGUCUUCGGAUCGUAAAACUCUGUUAUUAGGGAAGAACAAAUGUGUAAGUAACUAUGCACGUCUUGACGGUACCUAAUCAGAAAGCCACGGCUAACUACGUG
rnacentral:rRNA from 1 species